rnacentral:rRNA from 1 species
GACGAACGCUGGCGGCGUGCUUAACACAUGCAAGUCGAACGGACUCCAUGCAGUAGCAAUACUGCGGAAGAGUUAGUGGCGAACGGGUGAGUAUCACGUGAGAAACCAACCCCGGUCUCUGGGAUAACAGGUGGAAACACCUGCUAAUACCGGAUGCCGUCGUUUCCUCGCAUGGGGAGAUGACGAAAGGGCUACCGGAUCGGGACGGUCUCGCGGCCUAUCAGCUUGUUGGGGAGGUAACGGCUCACCAAGGCUUCGACGGGUAGCUGGUCUGAGAGGAUGAUCAGCCACACGGGGACUGAGACACGGCCCAGCCUCCUACGGGAGGCAGCAGUGGGGAAUCUUGCGCAAUGGGCGAAAGCCUGACGCAGCAACGCCGCGUGCGGGAUGAAGGCCUUCGGGUUGUAAACCGCUUUUACCAGGAAGGAAAAUGACAGUACCUGGAGAAUAAGGUGCGGCCAACUACGUGCCAGCAGCCGCCGUAA